AACGUAGGAGACAAACGUUAUCCGGAGUUACUGGGCGUAAAGGGCGUGUAGGUGGUUGAGUAAGUCUGGCGUGAAAUUUUUCGGCUUAACCGGGAAAGGUCGUCGGAUACUGCUUAACUAGAGGACGGUAGAGGCGUGUGGAAUUCCGGGUGUAGUGGUGAAAUGCGUAGAUAUCAGGAGGAACACCGGUGGUGUAGACGGCUUUCUGGACCGUAACUGACGCUGAGACACGAAAGCGUGGGUAGCAAACAGG
rnacentral:rRNA from 1 species